rnacentral:rRNA from 1 species
AUUGAACGCCGGCGGCAUGCCUUACACAUGCAAGUCGAACGGUAACGGGCCUUCGGGUGCCGACGAGUGGCGAACGGGUGAGUAAUGUAUCGGAACGUACCUUUCAGUGGGGGAUAACGUAGCGAAAGUUACGCUAAUACCGCAUAUUCUGUGCGCAGGAAAGCAGGGGAUCGCAAGACCUUGCGCUGAUUGAGCGGCCGAUAUCAGAUUAGCUAGUUGGUGAGGUAAAGGCCCACCAAGGCGACGAUCUGUAGCGGGUCUGAGCGGAUGAUCCGCCACACUGGAACUGAGACACGGUCCAGACUCCUACGGGAGGCAGCAGUGGGGAAUUUUGGACAAUGGGGGCAACCCUGAUCCAGCCAUGCCGCGUGAGUGAAGAAGGCCUUCGGGUUGUAAAGCUCUUUCGGCCGGGAAGAAAUCGUAUGGGCUAAUACCCUGUGCGGAUGACGGUACCGGCAUAAGAAGCACCGGCUAACUACGUGCCAGCAGCCGCAGUAACAC